UACAGAGGGUGCGAGCGUUAAUCGGAAUUACUGGGCGUAAAGGGUGUGUAGGCGGUUCUCUAAGUCUGGUGUGAAAUCUCCCGGCUCAACUGGGAGGGUGCGCCGAAAACUGGAGGACUAGAGUGCGGGAUGGGAGAGUGGAAUUCCUGGUGUAGCGGUGAAAUGCGCAGAUAUCAGGAGGAACACCAAUGGCGAAGGCAGCUCGCUGGAACGGUACUGACGCUGAGGCGCGAAAGCGUGGGGAGCAAACAGG
rnacentral:rRNA from 1 species